rnacentral:lncRNA from 1 species
AUGAUUUCUUGGAGAAACACUACACUCAGCCGGGCACCUAACCGAGCUACACCCAAACCAGUGUUCUUGGAAAGAUGGAAAGAAGUGCUUCAUACCGAGGCUGGGGGCAAAGAGCUCAAGCAUGAGAGUUGCAUAUUUGUGAAGCAAUCAAAGGACAAGAGCUCAGCUAUGAUGGCUGCGGUAAGGCCACUGGAGCCCAUGGGUUGAGGGAGCAAUUGAUGCAGGUUCCAGCAGAUGGAAAGGCUCCUCUGAAGAGUAAGUCCCCAAAGAGAAAGAGGUGAGUGGAAGGGAAGACACUCCUGCACAUUCAUUAUAAACCAAGCCCCCAAAUGGGAAGAAACAGUAUAUUCAAGUACUGUGACGGGAUGUACUGGAUUACAAAUGGGAGAUGGGUAGGGGAGAGAAAGGAGCAAGACACCGCCAAAUAAUAGCUUUUAACGGGGAGGAUAGGUAGUAAGCGUUCCCUGCGUCACUUCUGGAUGUUUUUUUUGUUUUUUUUUUUUUAAAGAUUUUAUUUAUUUAUGUGACAGAGAGACAGCCAGCGAGAGAGGGAACACAGCAGGGGAGUGGGAGAGGAAGAAGCAGGCUCAUAGCGGAGGAGCCUGAUGUGGGGCUCGAUCCCAUAACGCCGGGAUCACGCCCUGAGCCGAAGGCAGACGCUUAACGACUGCGCUACCCAGGNCCUGGACUCUUAGUAUUUUAUGUGAUGUGGCAAAGAAAAGUUAAGUUGGCAGAGAGCACUAAGAUUGCUAAUCAGCUGCCCUUAAGCUUAUCCUGGGUUAUCCGGUGGGCCUGAUUUAAUCAGAAGGGUCUGUUAAAGCAGAAGGAGUCAAGAGUUAAAUAUUUAAAGAUGCUGCACUGCGGGCUCUGAAGGUAGAAAAUGAGGCCACAGGGACGCCUGGGUGGCUCAGUCCGUUAAGCGUCUGCCUUCAGCUCAGGUCAUGAUCCCAGUGUCCUGGGAUCGAGUCCCACAUCAGGCUCCCCGCUCAGCGGGUAGCCUGCUUCUCUCUCUGCCUGCUGCUCCCCCUGCUUGUGUGCUCUCUCUCUCUGUGGCAAAUAAAUAAAUAAAAUCUUUAAAAAGAAAAAAAAGAAAAAAGAAAAAAAGAAAAUGAGGCCACAAAGCAAGGAACGCAGGUGAUCUCCACACGGAAAAGGCAAG